rnacentral:misc_RNA from 1 species
GGGGGGCACAAACAGGGAAAAAGAAGGUAAACUAAAUGUAAGACACAUAAAUCAAAGAUAGCCUCUAAAAAAUUUUAACAAGAUACAUCAUUGAUUCAUUGAACUAUUCAGUUAAACCACACAUAUACUUUUUGUAAUCACUGCCAUGUUAAGAUAUGGAAUUUGCUUCUUGUUGAAUGCCAGUAAAUAAACCAAGAGCAAUAAGGAAGACCAAAAAAUUUUACAUUUGGUGAAUUACGCC